rnacentral:rRNA from 1 species
ACAGUGGACGCGAGCAUCUUUGUGGUCAAAUUAUUAAGUGCAAAUGGCGAAUGCCUUGGCACCAGAUGUCGAUGAAGGACGUAGGAGGCUGCGAUAAGCCUCGGGGAGCUGUCAACCGAGCUGUGAUCCGAGGAUUUCCGAAUGGGGAAACCCAACUGGAGUUAUGUCCAGUUAUUCCUGCCUGAAUAUAUAGGGCAGGUAAAGGUAACGGGGGGAAGUGAAACAUCUCAGUACCCCCAGGAAGAGAAAACAACCGUGAUUCCGUUAGUAGUGGCGAGCGAAAGCGGAAGAGGCUAAACCAAUAGCAUGUCAAUCCGGCAGGAGUUGUGUUAUUGGGGUCGUGGGACCAGUUGGAUCUAACUGCCGUUAGGUCAAUGAGUCAGAAAAUUCUUAAGUAGGCGAAGGACGUGGGAAAGUCCGCCAAAGUGGGUGAUAGCCCCGUAGCCGAAACUUUAGAAUCUCAUUAUUGGUAUCCCAAGUAGUACCGAACUCGAGGAAUUUGGUAUGAAUCUGGCGGGACCACCCGCUAAGCCUAAAUACGAUCUGGUGACCGAUAGCGAACAAGUACCGUGAGGGAAAGGUGAAAAGAACCCCGCAAGGGGAGUGAAAUAGAAUCUGAAACCGUUUGCAUACAAGCCGUAGGAGCGGGGCAACCUGUGACUGCGUGCCUUUUGAAGAAUGAGUCUACGAGUCAGUGUCAUGUUGCGAGGUUAACCCGUCGAGGGGAAGCCGUAGCGAAAGCGAGUCUGAAUAGGGCGAAUUAGUAGCAUGAUCUGGACCCGAAGCGAGGUGAUCUACGCAUGGCCAGGUUGAAGCGCGGGUAAGACCGCGUGGAGGACCGCACCCACGUAAGUUGAAAAUUGCGGGGAUGAGCUGUGUGUAGGGGUGAAAGGCCAAUCAAACUUCGUGAUAGCUGGUUCUCUCCGAAAUGCAUUUAGGUGCAGCGUUACGUGUUUCUUACCGGAGGUAGAGCUACUGGAUGGUCGAGGGGUCCUACAAGAUUACCAACAUCAGCCAAACUCCGAAUGCCGGUAAGUGAGAACGUAGCAGUGAGACUGUGGGGGAUAAGCUUCAUGGUCGAGAGGGAAACAACCCAGAAUAGCAACUAAGGUCCCAAAGCCUGUGCUAAGUGGAAAAGGAUGUGAAGUCGCAUAGACAACCAGGAGGUU